rnacentral:rRNA from 1 species
AACGAACGCUGGCGGCAUGCCUAACACAUGCAAGUCGAACGAUUGCCUUCGGGUGAUAGUGGCGCACGGGUGCGUAACGCGUGGGAAUCUGCCCUUAGGUUCGGAAUAACAGCUGAAAACGGCUGCUAAUACCGGAUGAUAUCGCGAGAUCAAAGAUUUAUCGCCUGAGGAUGAGCCCGCGUUGGAUUAGGUAGUUGGUGGGGUAAAGGCCUACCAAGCCGACGAUCCAUAGCUGGUCUGAGAGGAUGAUCAGCCACACUGGGACUGAGACACGGCCCAGACUCCUACGGGAGGCAGCAGUGGGGAAUAUUGGACAAUGGGCGCAAGCCUGAUCCAGCAAUGCCGCGUGAGUGAUGAAGGCCCUAGGGUUGUAAAGCUCUUUUACCCGGGAAGAUAAUGACUGUACCGGGAGAAUAAGCCCCGGCUAACUCCGUG